CAUUCCGAACUCAGAAGUGAAACGAAAUAGCGCCGAUGGUAGUGUGGGGCUUCCCCAUGUGAGAGUAGGACAUCGCCAGGCU
rnacentral:rRNA from 1 species